rnacentral:rRNA from 1 species
UACGUAGGGGGCAAGCGUUGUCCGGAAUCAUUGGGCGUAAAGAGCGUGUAGGCGGCUCGAUAAGUCCGCUGUGAAAGUCCAGGGCUCAACCCUGGAAGGCCGGUGGAAACUGUCGGGCUAGAGUCCGGGAGGGGCGAGUGGAAUUCCUGGUGUAGCGGUGAAAUGCGCAGAUAUCAGGAGGAACACCAGUGGCGAAGGCGGCACUCUGGGCCGGUACUGACGCUGGAGGAAGCGAAAGCGUGGGGAGCGAACAGG